UUGCAACUUCGUCGUUCCGCCGCU
rnacentral:piRNA from 3 species